GGUAAAAUGACUGAGACAAUUAGGUGAUAGAUUGUAAAUCUAUUAAGAAGAAUUUAUUCUUUUUUACCA
rnacentral:tRNA from 1 species